UUGAGCAGCUCUUUCAGAUACCGUAUUUCAGUGAGAUGGUUACUGGAUAUGUGGUCAGCCAACGGCUGGUCGCUGGUAUUCCCUGCGUCCACAGUGGCGGAUUCAGUGGAGGCGGUGGAGGGCCCAGCGGUCUUGUCGACGACACGAGGGUCAUAUGUGCAGCAGUCUAUUUUAUCAUCCUGCAGAAUUUUAACGAAUUUACAUAUUUUGGCACAAGACUUGUGCAUUAGAACACCACAGACGAUGCACUUCAGACCCGUGCCAGCAACACCGUCACAGCGCUUACAGGCUUUUUGCACCAUUGCUAUACGUCAGUUUAAGUUAUUUAGCACAAAACCGAAAAACAAUCGGAUCCGAACUGUACAAUAAGUUUUCUACGAACCGUGGGCGGAAACAACCUUUUCACGCGCUCUCCGAAAGGCAAAAAAGGGAGUUCGAGCCGAACCAUCCAAGCGCUCUUGUUGGUCACACUAUCGAUACUAGCUCGGGAUAAAAGAAUUUAUCAUACGCGUAGAAGCAGGAGCCCGAGGACCGAACCCUGCAGCACUCCAGACGAUGCCGGUAUGCAAUUCGACACAUUGAAGUCUGCCGCUCAGAUAAAGA